CUUUGGUUCUAUUUCGUUGGUUCUAGGACCGAAGUAAUGAUUAAUAGGGACAGUUGGGGGCAUUAGUAUUUAAUUGUCAGAGGUGAAAUUCUUAGAUUUAUGAAAGACUAACUACUGCGAAAGCAUUUGCCAAGGAUGUUUUCAUUAAUCAAGAACGAAAGUUAGGGGAUCGAAGACGAUCAGAUACCGUCGUAGUCUUAACCAUAAACUAUGCCGACUAGGGAUCGGCGGGUGUUUGUUAUGACCCCGUUGGCACCUUGUGGGAAACCAAAGUUUUUGGGUUCUGGGGGGAGUAUGGUCGCAAGGCUGAAACUUAAAGGAAUUGACGGAAGGGCACCACCAGGAGUGGAGCCUGCGGCUUAAUUUGACUCAACACGGGGAAACUCACCA
rnacentral:rRNA from 1 species